CCUACGGGUGGCAGCAGUGGGGAAUAUUGGGCAAUGGGCGAAAGCCUGACCCAGCAACGCCGCGUGAAGGAAGAAGGCUUUCGGGUUGUAAACUUCUUUUGACAGGGAAGAGCAGAAGACGGUACCUGUCGAAUAAGCCACGGCUAACUACGUGCCAGCAGCCGCGGUAAUACGUAGGUGGCAAGCGUUGUCCGGAUUUACUGGGAGUAAGGGGCGUGUAGCCGGGCUGACAAGUCAGAUGUGAAAUCCGGGGGCUCAACCCGCGAACUGCAUUUGAAACUGUUGGUCUUGAGUAUCGGAGAGGCAGGCAGAAUUCCUGGUGUAGCGGUGAAAUGCGUAGAUAUCACGAGGAACUCCGAUUGCGAAGGCAGCCUGCUGGACUGUAACUGACGCUGAUGCGCGAAAGUGUGGGUAUCAAACAGGAUUAGAUACCCUAGUAGUC
rnacentral:rRNA from 1 species